CCUACGGGAGGCAGCAGUGGGGAAUAUUGCACAAUGGGGGAAACCCUGAUGCAGCGACGCCGCGUGGGUGAAGAAGUAAUUCGUUACGUAAAGCCCUAUCAGCAGGGAAGAAACACUGACCUCACGAUCAGCAGACGGUACCUGAGUAAGAAGCCCCGGCUACCUACGUGCCAGCAGCCGCGGUAAUACGUAGGGGGCAAGCGUUAUCCGGAUUUACUGGGUGUAAAGGGAGCGUAGACGGUGCGCCAAGUCUGGAGUGAAAGGCCGAGGCUUAACUGCGGGACUGCUCUGGGAACUGGCGAACUAGAGUGCGGGAGGGGUAAGCGGAAUUCCUAGUGUAGCGGUGAAAUGCGUAGAUAUUAGGAGGAACACCGGUGGCGAAGGCGGCUUACUGGACCGUAACUGACGUUGAGGCUCGAAAGCGUGGGGAGCAAACAGGAUUAGAUACCCUUGUAGUC
rnacentral:rRNA from 1 species